AAAUUCCCUCAAUAAAGUACGAUGUGCCACAAACAAACUAUAAAAUCUCAUAAGACACUUGGGUAAGAGUUAUGUUUGCAAGCGUAAAAAUCAAUUGUUUCCCACAGGUAGUUCGCAGGAGGUUGUGAUCAUUUAUAUUUUCAGAAGUCUGCCCUUCAUCUGUCUGUAAGUGGCAUUCUUUUACCUAAACAGGGACAACAAACAAGUCACAUCAUUACGACCAGCAGUUGAGCAUGCUGUAGAGUUGGGAGUGAGACCAGAUGAAGACCUGGAGGCUGGAGAGACACAGAAGAAUGAAACUGAAGAGGUGAAACAUGGAGAUAAUAUUUCAGAACAGGAGAAAGAUAGGGUCAACAACGAGAAACCUGAAGUAACUGUUGCAACAGAAGAAGAGAAACCGACUGCUGUAGUUGUGAGCAUUGAACAAGGUGCAUCUUCAAUGCAUGACAACGAAAACAAGAGCAUUUCUGUUACGAACACUGAGGAAAAGACACAUCUAAUGCCUGAUGUUGAAGAAGGGACUGUUUCUGUGCUGACUGACUCAGAUUCAGCUCUGUGAGACACAGAGGAAAUGCAGUUAUGGUAUGCUGUUCAGGUCUGUGAUGUCACUUCCUGCAUGAUAGCUUGUUUGCAGACUCAUAAUGGUUUGAAUUCUGAAAGCAGGUGGAAUAAAGUAUGUUAAUGCAUCUUUCUGUAUGAUUGUGUAUGUGGUUGUGUUCAGUCAAGUGUGAGAGCAGUGUUGUGGUUUACGCUGGGCUUCGCUGUGAUAAAUUUAGUUGCAUGGGGAGGGGUUGAAAAUCUGAGAGUACGAGUGUCUCGUGCGUGUGAGAGGUUGUGCUGUGUGAGUAUAGCAGAGUUGAGAUUCUCUGCAGACGGUCAGAAAUGAAGUGUUCCUCCAGACUCCUGUGUGGACUCCUCGUGUCAUGCCUUUGUUUCAGAGGUAAGUGCCACACAAAACUCCUUGGUGAAGAGAAACCCAGUACAGAUGCUCCAGGAUACUGUUCAGUAUUAGUGCAAAAUCAAACAAACCAAAUGAUUGUAGAGCUGUGAGAUAAUGCUGUCUUCCUAUGUUCAGUUGAAGACAUUUUUUUUACCAUAUUACAUUUACAUUUACAUUAAUUUAUUUAUCAGUUACAUCUAUAUGCAUGAAUAUGUUUGAUUAUAUCAUUAACUUAAUUUUCCAUACAUUUCUGCCAUAUCUACAUUAAUUUUGACAGUAACCUUGACAUUUGACAAGUCACUUCUAAAUAUAUUGUAUAAACUUAAUUUUCUGUAAUUGUCUGCUUUGCAAC
rnacentral:lncRNA from 1 species